AUUGAACGCUGGCGGCAGGCCUAACACAUGCAAGUCGAACGGUAACAGGAAGAAGCUUGCUUCUUUGCUGACGAGUGGCGGACGGGUGAGUAAUGUCUGGGAAACUGCCUGAUGGAGGGGGAUAACUACUGGAAACGGUAGCUAAUACCGCAUAACGUCGCAAGACCAAAGAGGGGGACCUUCGGGCCUCUUGCCAUCGGAUGUGCCCAGAUGGGAUUAGCUAGUAGGUGGGGUAACGGCUCACCUAGGCGACGAUCCCUAGCUGGUCUGAGAGGAUGACCAGCCACACUGGAACUGAGACACGGUCCAGACUCCUACGGGAGGCGGCAGUAGGGAAUCUUCCGCAAUGGGCGAAAGCCUGACGGAGCAACGCCGCGUGAGUGAUGAAGGUCUUCGGAUCGUAAAACUCUGUUAUUAGGGAAGAACAAAUGUGUAAGUAACUAUGCACGUCUUGACGGUACCUAAUCAGAAAGCCACGGCUAACUACGUG
rnacentral:rRNA from 1 species